rnacentral:lncRNA from 1 species
UUUCACAGCCAUUGCUUAAUUUAGGAUAAUGGAUGUUGACAUUAUUUAGUUUUGGAUAGUGGAUGUCGACUUUGCUUCCUUGCUCCUAGGUUCCUGGCUUCUCAUCACUCUAGCAAGCUCUGCAUGAGGUCCAGCUCAGCAGCAGAUUAGAACCAGAGAGCAAGAAAGCAUAGAAAAACCACACUUUGAGCCUACAUUUUCUGUAUUUUCUUCACAUUUAUACUUUUUUAAAAGUACAUAUUUACUAAAUGGAUAUAGUAGAAAUAAAUGUUAAUGGGCUAAAGCUUCAACUUAUUAUAAAAAGCUGAUGUAUUUUUUACCAUUUAUCCAUAGCGGAUGCAUGUUAUCAUAUAAAUUAGAAGAAUUGAAGGCAACUAGCAUGUGUAAGGAUUUUCAGUGCCCUGACCCUUAAUUAGGAAACUGGUCACUUGAAAGUUUUCUUUGCACUUUGUAUUUCUUUUGUCUUAAAAAGUAAAGGAAUCCUUAAAACAAUAAGGACUAUGAAUUAACAGGCAAAAGUAAAUUGCUAUUUUAUAGCAUCAUUAUAUGCAAAUUAAUUUUAGUUGCUCAUUUAUCUUUUCCCUUCUUAUUUGUCUUAUAGCUUGCAAUGCAUAUAAAUGCUCAUGUAAAUGUUUUAUAUUUGGGAAUCUGUAAAAUAACUGACAUUAAUUUUUCACUACUGACAUUAUUACUAAUAUACAUAGUUGAUUAUGGUUUAUUCAUAAGAUUGUUUACUUGCCUCCAUGUAAUUUGAGAGUCUGAUAAUUUACUCCAUUUGUAUGAAAACUGAUUUCACUGUGCCUAUGAAGUCCUCCAGAAUUAGAAAACAAUGCAUAUUCUGUUGACUUACAUAACAAGUUUAAGUGUGUUUUAUGACACUCAAUGCCCUUAUGUCCUAGAGAUUGUAUUUUGUAAUGAAUGCAUGAUCUUGAGCCUUAACUCCUGUAUCUACUUCUGCUCCUCAAAAACUUUGUAACUUUACCAACAUGCCUUGAAAAAUCACCUAAGUAAAUUAGUGUCUGCUUUGAUCUACACAGGAAGAAGGUGUGAUUAAAAGCUUUGCAAGGAAAGCAUUGAUGGCAUGUGCAUUAGUUUGCGUUGACCUGCAUUGUAUUCUUCAGAAAGCUGCUGUAUAUUGGAGCAAUGAUCAAAAAUGCAACACUAAACCAAGAUAUGGAAACAUUUGAAGUUGCAGGAAUCAAAAUGCAGGGUAAUUCUCCAGAGAAUAUGAGAAGACAAGGCAGCUAAAAUGAACCUACUUUAUAACUGGGUAAGAGAUUCUGAAGCUAGAUUCAAUCCUGAUGUGUGUCUAAUGAAACAGCUUUGGAGACUGUCAAUCCUUUCUCAUUUAUUUUCUUAACACCAAUGACAAGAAGCAUCAAAUGACUCUAAACACCUUCCUGGAAUAACUAUCAUUAGCCUUCAGUAUAAUUAUAUUAUCUUUUUAUUAUUGAAUUGAAAUUAUUGAAAAUGAAAAUAGAGAGCAUUACUUUUCCAAUCAGAAAAUGUGUACUGGAUUUUAAAUAUCACAUCUUUUGUGGGUACACACCCAUCAGCCCAAUCAGCUUGUCAGCAUCAUUAUCUAAACUUUUGCUACUAUUCAUUAGGAUGAAAGCAGAUGCUCCUGUGAUUAGGUCACACACAGCAGGCACAAAGUUCUUGACCCUUUCCAAGAAUAUUCAACAAGAAAUGGAAAUGUGACAUAGUGUCUUAACCAUACUAUGAAUUAUUAAAUAGUACUUACAGGUAUUUGUCUGAUUUCACUGUUGUCUGUGUUUUUCAUUUUGUUGUUUACUUUUGUAUUUUAAUAACGAC